rfam:Tolumonas auensis DSM 9187, complete genome.
UAUUUCCUGGGGUGUUCGUCAGUGGGCUUAUGUCCCUGAGCCGAUAAUUUUUUUGCAAGGAAGUCGCUCGCUAGUCAGUGUGCAUGCCCGGCCCGACCGGGAAGCCUGAGAUUGGCAGUCAGAUUUCCGCCUUGAACUCUCGGGUUCAAGGACCGAAGCCUGCAACGGCACCCCGGGACCUCA